rnacentral:rRNA from 1 species
AUUGAACGCUAGCGGGAUGCCUUACACAUGCAAGUCGAACGGCGUGGCGAACGGGUGAGUAAUGUAUCGGAACGUGCCCAGUAGCGGGGGAUAACUACGCGAAAGCGUAGCUAAUACCGCAUACUUUUGGAGCGGCCGAUAUCGGAUUAGCUUGGUGGUGGGGUAACGGCUCACCUAGGCGACGAUCCGUAGCUGGAUUGAGAGGACGACCAUCCACACUGGGACUGAGACACGGCCCAGACUCCUACGGGAGGCAGCAGUGGGGAAUUUUGGACAAUGGGGGAAAGCCUGAUCCAGCCAGCCCGCGUGUGGGAUGAAGGCCUUCGGGUUGUAAAGCACUUUUGGCAGGAAAGCGGUACCUGCAGAAUAAGCACCGGCUAACUACGUGCCAGCAGCCGCGGUAAUUC